rfam:Aedes albopictus isolate Foshan contig79281, whole genome shotgun sequence.
UAGCCUAGUGGUUAAGGCAAUGGAUCGCCAAUCCGGAGACGGCAGGUUCGAUUCCCGU